ACCGUGUUCUCUCUCCUUCGUCGUCGGCUACCAGAACUCCUCGGCACCUCCUACCCCUUCUCCUACCCCUUCCGGCGAUACGUCGCCGCGCACCACCACACCACACCUUCCCUCGACCUCGCUCCCCAAAAAAGUCAAAACGCCAAAAAGUCACCGCGCACCUCCGACGCCGCCAUGCACACCCGUUCCCAGCAAUCUUUUCAGGCCUGAACACCUUUGGAUCACCAAUAUCAAGUAUUUAAAUCGCCCACUCCACAACCACCGCGAGCGUCGCCGCCUCAGCUCCUCCUCCUCGGACUCGGCCUCGCCGCGCGGGAGCUCACCUAGUCACCUCACCACGGCGCCAACACCAUCCGCGAGUCGCGACGCGCCGCGCGCCGCUGCUGGAUCAGGAGCUCUCUCGCGAGCUGCUGCUUUUGGGUCUUGCCGCGGCCGCACCGCACAGGCGAUCGCGGGGGGAGGGAGCACACCGGUCGACAGAGUUCGGUGAGUCCCUGAUCUGCCCUGGCGCCCCGCAUCGGCUGGUCGUCGUCUCUGCCUUCCAUCGACCGACUCCGAGUUCCGUGAUCUCGGGAGCCGCGCGAGGGCUCUGGACUGGAGAAGCGCGGCUCGAUCCAGUCGAUUCGCCGGGCAAAUUUGAAUCGCGGAGGGCGGAAGGUGAAACAUCGAAGGGAUUCAUCAUCGGCUGCUUCUGGAUUGGGGAGGAAGCCUCGCCUGCUAUUUUCAAACUGGUUUUGGUCUGGGAGUCUUGCCGUGAAUUGGUCCGAGGCCGAUUUGGCAGCAGGGAAGCUGUGGAAUGGGAGAUCGGGCGGCGGCGGCGGAGGGGAUAUGGUGAGCGGGAGCUUCAGCCGGAGCACAUCGGCGCGGCUCGCAGCGAGGGGCGGCGUCGGGAGCCCGCGGGUCUCGACGCCGGGGGCCGCGCACCGGAACUGGUGGGCGGCGGCGCCGUCGGGGCCGUCGAUCGAGCGCAUCGCCUUGGCGUUCUUACUGGCCUCCCUAGCGCUGGUGCUUUCCUGCGCGCUGUACCUCUACUUCUUCCGGCACCCGGGCCGGGACCGUGUGGUCGCCGAGUUCGCCGGCGAGAGCCUCGAGUCCUGCGACGUGUUCGACGGCAUCUGGGUGCCGGAUGAGAGGUACCCCUUGUACAACAGCUCCCGGUGCCCGUUUGCAGAGAGGGGGUUCAAUUGCCUGGCCAAUGGGAGGAAGGAUACCGAGUUCCUUAAGUGGAGGUGGAAGCCUAGGGGAUGCAAUUUACCGCGGUUCAGUGCCCGGGCUGUGCUGGAGUGGCUGAGAGGGAAGAGGGUCGUGUUUGUGGGGGAUUCCAUGAGCCGAACGCAGUGGGAGUCCUUCAUUUGCAUGCUCAUGACUGGGGUGGAUGAUCCGAAGACGGUUUAUGAGGUUAAUGGCAACCAAAUCUCAAAGACAAUCCGAUUUUUAGGAGUGAGGUUUGAGUCGUUCAACCUUAGUGUGGAGUUCUUCCGGUCUGUGUUCCUUGUGCAGCAGAUUCCCGCGCUGCGGCACGGGCGCAGAAGGGUCCGUGCCAUCCUCAAGCUUGAUAAGUUGGAUGACUUAAGUCAGAAAUGGGCUGAUUCAGAUGUGCUUAUUUUCAACUCAGGGCAUUGGUGGACUGCCAGCAAAUUAUUUGACAUGGGUUGCUAUUUUGAGGCUGGAGGUGUGCUUAAACUGGGAACUUCCAUUAAUGCUGCUUUCAAAAUGGCACUGGAAACUUGGGCUUCAUGGGUGAAAGAAAGAGUUGAUUUAAGACGAACACGUGUGUUCUUCCGGACAUAUGAACCAUCUCAUUGGAGUGGCUUAAAUCAAAAGGUUUGUGAAGUAACAGAACAACCUACAACUGAGGCCAAAGGAAAUGACAGGAGAGAAUUUGGGGAUAUACUUGCUGAUGUUGUAGCGAAUACAAGUGUCCCUGUCACCGUACUAAAUGUGACCUUGAUGGGGGCCUUCAGAAGUGAUGCUCAUAUUGGCCUUUGGAGUCAUCCUAAUACCAUACUUGAUUGCAGCCACUGGUGCCUUCCUGGAGUCCCAGAUGCUUGGAAUGAACUUGUAUUUUCCCACCUGUUGACAAAUGGUUGGCGAGGGCUGGUUAGCUGACUGUUGACAUGAUAUACCCAUUUUCUUUCUGUUUCAUAAUUUCUGUUUUAUUUGCUGCAAGAAGCCUCUGAGACAGCGGCAUCUUCAGGUUUUCCUAUAGGAAGGAAAGAGUGUCGUGGGCUCGUGGCUUUCGCAGUUGCAUCGGAGCUUGUCCCACUGCCAGCCAGUGGACGCCGCCGGUGCGCGGUGCGCCGACCAUUUCUCUGUGAGCCUCUGAUCCCGUGACCGGGUCCCGGAACCGGGUCGGCGGCCUCGCAACAAGAGAAAAACCAGCCGUCUCCAUUCCGCGGCUGUGCCAAUGUGCCAUUAUCCCGUGAGCAGAAAGCUUCCGGAACAUUGACAGAAACCUCCAAUGUCACAUGACGGAUCAAACAACCUGCUGUGUGGCAGCACGCCACGGAGCGAAGGGCAUUGUGCGUGCUCGCCUGUCGCGGUUAUCUCUUCGUCCUUUUCAGGACAUGCAGCUAUCGUGCCAAAUUAACCAAAUCAAUGCAGCUGACUGUAGGCAAUCAGGCAGUGCAAGGGGGGCAAGCAUGCCUUCUGUCUGCCGUGCACGGUUGUGCAAUUUCAUUUCAAGUGUCCCUGCUGUGCCGAUGAACGUAAGCAUCAGUUGAUGCGUUAACAACACUUAAGCUGCAGUAGAUCUCAACUUGAAGCUCAAACGUUUAGACUCGACGGUUUGAAUUGCCAGUUUAAAAUGUGAAUCCUAUAACUUGGAGA